UCCUUUUACGUGCUGUGUAAAACUUGAGGGU
rnacentral:piRNA from 1 species